AAAAAAACAUCCCAUUCUCAUGAAUCUCAUCCUAAAAAAUCUGAGAAAAAACAACUUUUGGUCUCUCGAUAUCCCCUUCUCAUUUAUAGCUUUCUUUAUUCUCCUCUUCUCUCUUUGUAAGCCUUUCAUCUCCUCUCCUCUUCGAUCUCGUUGCAUUGCCUCUUGCUCUCUCUCCUAAGAUUUGUGGGCUUCACCGACCAGAUCUAGGAACAUUGGGAAGGGUUCACUUAAGUACAAAGGCGUUCAGCUUCAAUUCGCCAUCGUAGUUAUCGAUUUUGUUAUUUUUCCGACUGGUUUUUAUGGAUCAGAUGAAGAAACUGUUCAAUAACCUUGAUGAUUCUUCUCUCGACCCAUCUCCCUCAAAGGAAGAGUCUAUUGGGUUUCUGAGCUUUAGCAGAGUUCUGAUUGUUGACAGGUAUGAUUAUUCGGGUUAUGGGAGGUCUUUAGGAUCAGUCUAUGGCUUUUGGAUCUGACAGAGGUCAUUUCAUUGAGAUGAUGGUCUAGCAGGUUUGAAUCACGGAUUUCACGGACAGGUUCAUGGAAGAAACUGUGUGACUGUUUAGUCUCUAGGUGGUUUAGCUUAUGAAGUUUUUGUUAUGUUAACAUGUUUAAUGGAUUUCAUAUUUGUUAAUGAGUUAUUUUGACAAGUGUAUCUCAGCUGCUGUACAAGGCUAUGAAGGAAUCAAGAGAGUCAAUGGAAGUUGGGCAUAUCACAAGAUUGUGUUGCUAGUUUACAACUCAGGUGGAUAAUUGGUUGAGCUCCUCUAUUGGCGAGGAUUAGAUGUAUGAAAAUUGGUUUGACUAUUCUAAAGAGAUUACAGUUUCCUAUAGUGGAUGCAACUGGACUUAGUUUAUUAAACUCAUGCUUGUAAUUUGCUUUGGGGGUUGGAGUGAUAGUGAGUAUCAAUUAUCAAAGAGGAAGGAUAGUGUGUUCAUCUACUUAUUUUUAAUUAUGUUUUUAAUUUUAUUUUGUAA